rnacentral:rRNA from 1 species
AACGCGAAGAACCUUACCUACUCUUGACAUCCUCGGAAUCUUCUGGAGACAGGAGAGUGCCUUCGGGAACCGAGAGACAGGUGCUGCAUGGCUGUCGUCAGCUCGUGUCGUGAGAUGUUGGGUUAAGUCCCGUAACGAGCGCAACCCUUGUCCUUAGUUGCCAGCGCGUCAUGGCGGGAACUCUAAGGAGACUGCCGGUGAUAAACCGGAGGAAGGUGGGGAUGAUGUCAAGUCAUCAUGGCCCUUACGAGUAGGGCUACACACGUGCUACAAUGGACAGUACAGAGGGUCGCCAAACCGCAAGGUGGAGCUAAUCCCAGAAAGCUGUUCGUAGUCCAGAUUGGAGUCUGCAACUCGACUCCAUGAAGUUGGAAUCGCUAGUAAUCGCGAAUCAGAAUGUCGCGGUGAAUACGUUCCCGGGCCUUGUACACACCGACUGUAC